UGGGGAAUAUUGCACAAUGGAGGGAACUCUGAUGCAGCGACGCCGCGUGAGUGAUAAAGGAAUUCGUUUCGUAAAACUCUGUUCUAUGGGAAGAAAAGGACUGUACCAUAGGAGAAAGCUCCGGCUAAAUACGUGCCAGCAGCCGCGGUAAUACGUAUGGAGCGAGCGUUGUCCGGAAUUAUUGGGCGUAAAGGGUGCGCAGGCGGCUUUACAAGUUGGAUGUGAAAUAUUGUGGCUCAACCACAAACGUGCAUCCAAAACUGCAAAGCUUGAGUUAAGGAGAGGUAAGUGGAAUUCCUGGUGUAGCGGUGGAAUGCGUAGAUAUCAGGAGGAAUACCGGUGGCGAAGGCGACUUACUGGACUUAAACUGACGCUCAGGCACGAAAGCGUGGGGAGCAAACAGG
rnacentral:rRNA from 1 species